rnacentral:rRNA from 1 species
AAUCAACGCUGGCGGCGUGCCUCAGACAUGCAAGUCGAACGCGAAAGUCCCCUUCGGGGGACAAGUAGAGUGGCGCACGGGUGGGUAACACGUAGGUAAUCUACCUUUGGAUGGGGAAUAACAAACCGGAAACGGUUGCUAAUACCGCAUAAUGCAGCGGCACCUAAUGGUGACAGUUGUUAAAGCGGGGGAUCGAAAGACCUCGCGUCUAAAGAGGAGCCUGCGGCGGAUUAGCUAGNGGUAAGGUAAUGGCUUACCAAGGCUACGAUCCGUAACCGGCCUGAGAGGGCGGUCGGUCACACUGACACUGACAUACGGGUCAGACUCCUACGGGAGGCAGCAGUCGGGAAUUUUGGGCAAUGGGCGAAAGCCUGACCCAGCAACGCCGCGUGAAGGAUA